CGCGUAGGUGGCUUGUCAGGUCCGAUGUGAAAUUCUGGGGCUCAACUCCAGGCGUGCAUCGGAAACCGGCUUGCUAGAGUCUGGGAGAGGAGAGUGGAAUUCCUGGUGUAGCGGUGAAAUGCGUAGAUAUCAGGAGGAACACCGGUAGCGAAGGCGGCUCUCUGGAACAGUACUGACACUGAAGGCGCGAAAGCUAGGGGAGCGAACA
rnacentral:rRNA from 1 species